GUAUAUUUCAGUGUGUGAACAUACCAUAAUUUGUUUAUCUAUUUCUUACUGUUGAACAUUUAGGUUGUUUCAAAUAUUUUGUUAUUCCCAAUAGUGCUGCAAUGAAUAUGAGCAACAUGACAGUUAAGAGGGUGGAUUCUAGAGCCAGACUACCCAGGAUUGAAUUUCAGGCACCAUCACUAGUUGUGUCACUUUGGGCACGUUACUUCUUUGUGCUCUAGUUUAUUUAAUUGUA
rnacentral:lncRNA from 10 species